CUAAAGUAUAAAUUAAAACUAACUUCUAAACUUCAAACUAACUUUAAUUAUAAAAUAUAAUAAUUAAUAUAUACACAUAUUCAACCUUAAAUUGUUUUUUCCUUUAAAUUUAAGUUAUAAAUCUAUUUUUCAAAUCUUUGACUUCAAAUCUAACUUAAACCCUAUCCCUAUUUCAUAAACCCUUAAUUCCAUUUACUAGUAUAUCCAAAACAUCAGUCACAAAAUUUUAAUUUUAAAAUUCUAAAUUUUAAUUUCAAAUUAAAAUUUCAAAUUUUAAAUUGUGAAAUCUAAAUCUUUGAAUCUUUUUUUCUCAAACUAAUUUUUGUAUAAGAAAGUUUACCACAAAUAUUUUUAAAACAGAAAAAAAAAAACAGAAUAAGAAAAUAAUUACAAAAGUGUGAUUGGUCAAAAAGUGACCACUAAGAUGCAAGUGCGAGGAUCACACUUCCUUUUAACCACAGCCAUCGAUUUAACAAAAUCUAAUGGCCAAGAAUGCACAAAGUGAAAAGUGUGUUUCUUCCUCUGUCUCCUCCUACCUUUCUUUCGUAUCCUCUGUCUAUGUAUCUCAUCUUCUUUUUUUUUUGUAACUUAGGCUUUCAGUUGUAUCUCAUCUUCUUCUUCACCUUUAAUCAAAAUCACUCCAUAUACGAAAUCUGUCUCAACCACCAUCACCUUAACUUUCGCCUCUGCCACCAUCAUCUUCAUCUUCAUCUCAACGUUCACUACCUCCGCCAACGAAGCCGUCUCUACCACCAUCACCAUAACCUCCGCCGCUGUCACCAUCAUCUUCAUCUCCAUCUCCUCAUGCAAGUUCACGAAGAAGAUGAAGACAUAUUGUGAAGGAAGAGGCAGAAGAUGAUAACGGAAAGGAAGUAAAAGAAAUUUGAUGGCGAAGGACGCUUGCCGAGCAGAUCGAACAGUGGCUCCAGCACCAGAUCUAGUCCUCGCUUCAGCCAUAGCACCUAGAGCAGGUGGAGGUGUAGAGGAUGAUGGAGGUGUCGGUGGAGAAGCUGGUGGCGGAAGCAGUGGUGGAGCCGGAACGGUUGGUCGGAGCCGGUGGAAGCCGAUAAUCUAUAUAUUUUUGUAUUUAUGUAUGUAUGUGCUUGUAAAUAUAUGUAAUUUACAGUAUAUAUAAAUUUAGUUUUUUCUAAA